AGAGAGAGACAUGCGCGCAUAUCAAUAAGCGGAGGAAAAGAAACUAACAAGGAUUCCCCUUAGUAACGGCGAGUGAAGCGGGAAGAGCUCAAAUUUGAAAUCUUCAAGGUUUUACCUUGACGAAUUGUAGUUUAAAGAAGUGUUUUCUGCUGAAGUUUUGGUAAAAGUUCUUUGGAAUAGGACAUCAUAGAGGGUGAGGAAUCCCGCUAUUUGACCAUUAUUUUCAGCUUUGUGAUACACUUUCAAAGAGUCGGAUUGUUUGGGAAUGCAGGUCCAAAAUGGGUGGUAAAUUUCAUCUAAAGCUAAAUAUUGGCGAAGACCGAUAGCGAACAAGUACCGUGAGGGAAAGAUGGAAAGAACUUUGAAAAGAGAGUUAAACAGUACGUGAAAUUGUCAAAAGGGAAGCGUUUGACACCAGUGUUGUUUUCUCGAAAAUCAAUUAAAAAUGGCUCGAUUUUGUAUUGCUGAGACCUUAAAAGCUCACUGUACAUUUUUCGUGUCUUUUUUAAUGCACUUUUCGUUUAACAAGUCAACAUCAGUUUCUUUUGUUGUAAAAGGGUCAUUGGAAGGUGGCUUUCUUUUCGGAGAAAGUGUUUAUAGCCUUUGGCCUCUGCAAUCGAAGAGACUGAGGUCUGCAGCGUAGACUCUUCGGGGUUAGAUACAUUUGUGCUAAGUUAUAGCUUUUUAUAGACAACUUGUUGACUAUAAUUAGUCUUGUAGCUUACUCGCUUAUGCUAUUUUACCUACGCUUAGGAUGUUGAAGAUGUAGCACAUCAU
rnacentral:rRNA from 1 species